rnacentral:rRNA from 1 species
UACGAAGGGGGCUAGCGUUGCUCGGAAUCACUGGGCGUAAAGCGCACGUAGGCGGGUCGUUAAGUCGGGGGUGAAAUCCUGGAGCUCAACUCCAGAACUGCCUUCGAUACUGAGAGUCUCGAGUCCGAGAGAGGUGAGUGGAACUGCGAGUGUAGAGGUGAAAUUCGUAGAUAUUCGCAAGAACACCAGUGGCGAAGGCGGCUCACUGGCUCGGUACUGACGCUGAGGUGCGAAAGCGUGGGGAGCAAACAGG